CAGAAUGGUCAGCAGGACAGAGAGGGGCCCAAGGCCAGCAGAGUGACCUGAGAUGACAGAACACAGGGCUUACGGAGCUGCCAGACAUUGAUACAAUUUAGGAGAGACACCCCCAUCCCUUUCUGGCUCCUGAAGAAAUGCAGGAAGAGAAAGAGGGUACUUGGAGCACGUCCACUUUCCGGGAGCCACGUAUCCUAAACCAGGACUUCAGUUGUAGUGGAUACAAGUCUGGAAUGCAGAGCCAGACAGACCUGAGUUCAAGUCUCAACUCCAACCUGGUCUGGAGCAUGUGA
rnacentral:lncRNA from 1 species